AAAUAAGAAGCUAUAAAGCAUUUAAUUUCGACUUAAAAAACUGGGGAAUCCCCUUAUUUA
rnacentral:tRNA from 1 species